rnacentral:tRNA from 1 species
AGGGAUGUAGCGCAGCUUGGUUGCGUUUGUUUUGCGUACAAAAUGUCACGGGUUCAAAUCAUGUCAUCCCUA